CCACAGACGGAACCGUGUUUCUUACCGGAGCACGCCUGCAGGGAAACUAGGUCAAUGUGUGCGAAGGGAAAAGAAAGGCACCGAGGAAGAGAUGGCACACUUUUCCGCCUCAAGUCAUCUCAGUGAUGGAUUACUUCAUUUAGAAGUGAGGAAAGGCGAAGCCCAAAUAAGUGCGACUCCUGAUGAAGUGGUCACUAAAGUGGGAGGGAGGAGGUGCAGGGAAUCCAGGUGGCCCGUGACGUUCACCGGCAGUAUUGUCCAUCCCAGAGGUCUGUGAGGGUCUAAUGAGGAAUUCCAGACUCAGGACUGGACAUCCAGCUGCAGACUCCCCUGUCUCCCAGUGCCUUUUGUUCUGGGGACCCCGACGUAGCCUUGAAUGCAGGUCACUGCAGGUUACUGACAAAGCUUGGUGAAAGGGGCGUUUUGUGAGCAUGUCUGAAAGAAGUGCAUACAAUUAAAAAUAGCCUGCCCUCCUGUCAAUGUAUCGCCAUUAAAAACAGCUGGGUUGGGCUUCUGCCUGCAUUCAGCCACGUGAAAGUUGAUUCUCUCAUUGUGCGCCUAUCUUGUCACAACUCCCCCUUUACUGCCAUCCUUUGUUGGCUGCUUUGUGCAAGCACCAUCACGGAGGCAAAGUCAGCCUCAUAAAAAGAGUUCAUUUUGGAUUCACUGGCCUCCGAUGAACAGUGGGAACUUUCUUUAUUGUGCCUUCAUCCAUAAAUCGCUGCUAACUCACUGGGCCCUGUCAGUCUGUCUCAAAAGAUUCUUUAUGGGGCAUUUCCUACUUCUUCCCUUGGAUGCGUUUUGUAGGUGAUCGUGAAGCUCAAGUUCCUAGGACGGUGCACGGCGGAUGCUCCGUGCAUUUAUUUGAUUGCAAUAACAGGGGAAAGAAUAGAAAUGCCUUUUUAUUUUUGAUGGCGGGAAUAUAUUUCAAUUAAUCAAACUUAAUUAAUCUCACCUGGCUGCCAGAUGAUCGUGCAGGCCCGUGAGAGUGUUUUCAUUUUGCUGUCAGUUAUGACACAUUGGAGCUAUCAUUGGCUUUAGGAUCAGUCCUCUGAGCCUACAGGUAAAAGUAAACACACAGGAUCCCACCCAUGGAGCAGCUGUCAGUGGCUUCAAUGAAUCAGCUCUACCUGUGCAACCAGGCACUCUAUGGGUUAAUGGAAGUGGAGGCGGACAGUCUUGUCUGUAUGGCAUAGCCGCCUGUGUUAGAUGUGGUGCUUUCAGGAAGACCUCCUUUACCAGGCUUGUCAUUUUCCACCACCCCUUAUUGUUCCACCCCCGUCUCCGUCUCCGACUCUCUCUCUCUUUUUCUUUCUCCCCUGGGCCCUCUCUUCACUCUGUCCAAGGCCUUUUCUGAUGCCAAGAAAACACACACAAGCAAGCAGCAACAUGCACCCUCACACUGACACACUCUCAUAAAGACAGAGACAGAAGCAGGCCAAGACACAGAAGACUCACACAAUCAAAAAGUCAAUAAAUGGCCUUCUUAUCUUAUCAGUACUGUCAUCGCUCUAUCAUCCACAGCCGGUCCUUUUGUCUCAUUGCCUAGUGAUUCCCAAACAACGGAUGCAAUUUAUACUUAGAAGGUUUGAAAUAAGCCAAACCUUUGAAAUUUCACUAAAUCAAAGAUUAGUUUGCAGAAACGAAUAAAAACAUUUUUUUUGUUUGUUUGGGGGCUUUUUUCAAAAAUGCAGAAGUCACAGUUUGUAAUCAAAGCAGGCACACAAAAAGGCCUUUAAGUUGUUUAUGAAAGAACAAAUCGACAGGAGAGUUCACACUUAUUCUAAUGCACAAGUUUUAUUUUUGCUCUACGUUUAGCUGAGGGGUCACCUCAGCGGGUAGCUCUGCAUAUUUGAUUUGGCACAUUUUACACCAGAUGUCCUGUUUGAUAUAUGUGUAGUUGUACCUUAAGCUUGUACACACAGACACCU